rnacentral:tRNA from 1 species
CGCGGGAUGGAGCAGUCUGGUAGCUCGUCGGGCUCAUAACCCGAAGGUCCUUGGUUCAAAUCCAGCUCCCGCAACCA